AUCCUUGUAGUGCAGUGGAUAGCGCGUUGGACUUCUAAUCCAAUGGUCGUGGGUUGGAAUCCCGCUUGGGAUG